AAAAAGGGCUUCUGUUGUGAAGUGGCACACAUAGGGCAUCUCUAUUGCUCUACGUGCGGAAUCGACUUCAAGAGAUUUCGGAAGCAUAGUUUUUGUUACCUGGGAUGUAGUGAUUGUUGCUCCUGGCGCCCUA
ensembl:snRNA